rnacentral:rRNA from 1 species
GUUUAACGGCCUCGGUAUUCUGACCGCGCGAAGGUAGCAUAAUAACUUGUUCUUUAAAUAGGGACUAGUAUCAACGGCAUCACGAGGGUUAUCCUGUCUCCUUUCUCUAAUCAGUGAACCUAACCUCUUCGUGAAGAGGCGAAGAUGAAUUUAUAAGACGAGAAGACCCCAUGGAGCUUAAAACAUAAGAAACAGUUUCUUUUCUACAAACCCUAAAAAAUAAGAAAACCUGUUAGCUAGUUUUCGGCUGGGGUGCCCAAGGAGAAUAACCAAACCUCCCUGACGACCAUUAUCCAAGAACGGACGGUUCAAAGAAACAAUAAAUUGACGCAAAAUGACCCGAUUUUAAUAAUCGAUCAACGAACCAAGUUACCCUGGGGAUAACAGCGCAAUCCAUUUCAAGAGCCCCUAUCGACAAAUGGG